rnacentral:snoRNA from 1 species
AGGCCAUGGUGUGGAACUCUUCUUAGUAGCUCCUUGUAUCUUUCUCAUGACUCAUAUAAAGAUUCCCCUUCUUGUUGAAAAAAUGUAGUGAUAUCAUUCCUCAUUUU